CAAUAGCGUAUAUUAAAGUUGUUGCAGUUAAAAGCUCGUAGUUGGAUUUCGGAGUGGGCCAGUUGGUCCGCCGCAAGGUGUGUUACUGACUGGUUUGCUCUUCUUCGCAAAGACUGCGUGUGCCCUUAAAUGAGUGUGCGUAGGAUUUACGACGUUUACUUUGAAAAAUUAGAGUGUUCAAAGCAGGCGUCGGCUUGAAUACAUUAGCAUGGAAUAAUGGAAUAGGACUUUGGUUCUAUUUUGUUGGUUUCUAGGACCGAAGUAAUGAUUAAUAGGGACAGUUGGGGGCAUUAGUAUUUAAUUGUCAGAGGUGAAAUUCUUGGAUUUACGAAAGACGAACAACUGCGAAAGCACUUGCCAAGAGUGUUUUCAUUAAUCAAGAACGAAAGUUAGAGGAUCGAAGACGAUUAGAU
rnacentral:rRNA from 1 species